rnacentral:rRNA from 1 species
UGCGUAGGCAGCGAGCGUUGUUCGGAAUUACUGGGCGUAAAGAGUGUGUAGGCGGUGCUCUAAGUUCGGUGUGAAAUCUCCUGGCUUAACUGGGAGGGUGCGCCGGAAACUGGAGUGCUCGAGCGUGGGAGAGGAAAGCGGAAUUCCUGGUGUAGCGGUGAAAUGCGUAGAUAUCAGGAGGAACACCUGUGGUGUAGACGGCUUUCUGGACCAUAGCUGACGCUGAGACACGAAAGCGUGGGUAGCAAACAGG